rnacentral:rRNA from 1 species
GUUGCGGACAGUGUCUGGUGGGUAGUUUGACUGGGGCGGUCUCCUCCUAAAGAGUAACGGAGGAGCACGAAGGUUGGCUAAUCCUGGUCGGACAUCAGGAGGUUAGUGCAAUGGCAUAAGCCAGCUUGACUGCGAGCGUGACGGCGCGAGCAGGUGCGAAAGCAGGUCAUAGUGAUCCGGUGGUUCUGAAUGGAAGGGCCAUCGCUCAACGGAUAAAAGGUACUCCGGGGAUAACAGGCUGAUACCGCCCAAGAGUUCAUAUCGACGGCGGUGUUUGGCACCUCGAUGUCGGCUCAUCACAUCCUGGGGCUGAAGUAGGUCCCAAGGGUAUGGCUGUUCGCCAUUUAAAGUGGUACGCGAGCUGGGUUUAGAACGUCGUGAGACAGUUCGGUCCCUAUCUGCCGUGGGCGCUGGAGAACUGAGGGGGGCUGCUCCUAGUACGAGAGGACCGGAGUGGACGCAUCACUGGUGUUCGGGUUGUCAUGCC